rnacentral:lncRNA from 10 species
UGGCAGUUUAUCUAAUACCUAAUCAAUGCAGAAACAUGAAAGUCCGGCCCCUCACCUCAACUCAGGAUGGCUGUGAAAGGUCAACCCAUCUUCAGAACUCAGCCUCAGGCUUCUACUUUAUUCUCAAAAAGAAUACCAUGGGUAGAAGAACUUUACGGUGUUGAAAAAAGAAACGAAAGAAGGACAGAAAGACAAAAAAAAGACAGAAGGAUGAAAGAAAGACAGAAAGACGAAAGAAAAGGAAAGAAAAAGAAAGAAGGAAAGAAAGGACAAAGAAAGAAAGAAAGAGAGAAGGAAAGAAACCAC